AGAUAAGCUUGUAUCAGGACAAACUAGAGAGGUUCAUAGACUUGAGUAAAGCACCACUUCGACCCUCUACUACCUUGAAUUAUCAGGCUGCAACACGUUUUAUUGAGCAUUCUUUCCCUGACCUGACCCCAGAAGCUAAGUAUGAGA